UGUGAAUUGCAGAAUUCAGUGAAUCAUCGAAUCUUUGAACGCACCUUGCGCCCCUUGGCACUCCGAGGGGCACACCCGUUUGAGUGUCGUAGAAAUUCUCAACCUCCCCAAUUUAUGGGAAAGGCUUGGAUCUUGGAGGCUUUUGCUGGCUUUUUCGGAGGCCAGCUCCUCUUAAACAGAUUAGUAGGGUUCUCUUUGCCGAUCCCUUGACGUGAUAAGANUUUUCUUACGUCCGAGGUUUUGCGAAGACCUGCUUCUAAUCGUCUCUCCCGAGACACGAUUGAACCCUUUUGACCUCAAAUCGGGUGAGACUACCCGCUGAACUUAAGCAUAUCAAUAAGCGGAG
rnacentral:rRNA from 1 species